rnacentral:rRNA from 1 species
UUGGAUGACCAGCGGAGGGAUCAUUACCGAGUUUACAACUCCCAAACCCAAUGUGAACGUUACCAAACUGUUGCCUCGGCGGGAUCUCUGCCCCGGGUGCGUCGCAGCCCCGGACCAAGGCGCCCGCCGGAGGACCAACCAAAACUCUUAUUGUAUACCCCCUCGCGGGUUUUUUUUAUAAUCUGAGCCUUCUCGGCGCCUCUCGUAGGCGUUUCGAAAAUGAAUCAAAACUUUCAACAACGGAUCUCUUGGUUCUGGCAUCGAUGAAGAACGCAGCGAAAUGCGAUAAGUAAUGUGAAUUGCAGAAUUCAGUGAAUCAUCGAAUCUUUGAACGCACAUUGCGCCCGCCAGUAUUCUGGCGGGCAUGCCUGUCCGAGCGUCAUUUCAACCCUCGAACCCCUCCGGGGGGUCGGCGUUGGGGAUCGGCCCUGCCUUGGCGGUGGCCGUCUCCGAAAUACAGUGGCGGUCUCGCCGCAGCCUCUCCUGCGCAGUAGUUUGCACACUCGCAUCGGGAGCGCGGCGCGUCCACAGCCGUUAAACACCCAACUUCUGAAAUGUUGACCUCGGAUCAGGUAGGAAUACCCGCUGAACUUAAGCAUAUCAAUAAAGGCGGAGGA